rnacentral:rRNA from 1 species
AGUGGCGGACGGGUGAGUAACGCGUGGGUAACCUGCCUCAUACAGGGGGAUAACAGUUAGAAAUGACUGCUAAUACCGCAUAAGCGCACAGUACCGCAUGGUACGGUGUGAAAAACUCCGGUGGUAUGAGAUGGACCCGCGUCUGAUUAGCUAGUUGGUGAGGUAACGGCUCACCAAGGCGACGAUCAGUAGCCGACCUGAGAGGGUGACCGGCCACAUUGGGACUGAGACACGGCCCAAACUCCUACGGGAGGCAGCAGUGGGGAAUAUUGCACAAUGGGCGAAAGCCUGAUGCAGCGACGCCGCGUGAGCGAAGAAGUAUUUCGGUAUGUAAAGCUCUAUCAGCAGGGAAGAAAAUGACGGUACCUGACUAAGAAGCACCGGCUAAAUACGUGCCAGCAGCCGCGGUAAUACGUAGGAGGCAAGCGUUGUCCGGAAUGACUGGGCGUAAAGGGUGCGUAGGCGGCUUUUCAAGUUGGUAGCGUAAUUCCGGGGCUUAACCUCGGCGCUACUACCAAAACUGUUAAGCUUGAGUGCAGGAGAGGUAAGUGGAAUUCCUAGUGUAGCGGUGGAAUGCGUAGAUAUUAGGAGGAACACCAGUGGCGAAGGCGACUUACUGGACUGUAACUGACGCUGAGGCACGAAAGCGUGGGGAGCAAACAGGAUUAGAUACCCUGGUAGUCCACGCUGUAAACGAUGAAUACUAGGUGUGGGAGGACUGACCCCUUCCGUGCCGCAGUUAACACAAUAAGUAUUCCACCUGGGGAGUACGACCGCAAGGUUGAAACUCAAAGGAAUUGACGGGGGCCCGCACAAGCAGUGGAUUAUGUGGUUUAAUUCGACGCAACGCGAAGAACCUUACCAGGAUUUGACAUCCUACUAACGAAGCAGAGAUGCAUUAGGUGCCCUUCGGGGAAAGUAGAGACAGGUGGUGCAUGGUUGUCGUCAGCUCGUGUCGUGAGAUGUUGGGUUAAGUCCCGCAACGAGCGCAACCCCUAUUGUUAGUUGCUACGCAAGAGCACUCUAGCGAGACUGCCGUUGACAAAACGGAGGAAGGCGGGGACGACGUCAAAUCAUCAUGCCCCUUAUGUCCUGGGCUACACACGUAAUACAAUGGCGAUCAACAGAGGGAAGCAAAGCCGCGAGGUGGAGCAAAUCCCUAAAAAUCGUCUCAGUUCGGAUUGCAGGCUGCAACUCGCCUGCAUGAAGCUGGAAUUGCUAGUAAUCGCGGAUCAGCAUGCCGCGGUGAAUACGUUCCCGGGCCUUGCACUCACCGCCCGUCA